rnacentral:lncRNA from 1 species
UGAGUUGUUUAAGAAAGAAGAAGGGGAGAAAAUAGAGUUGGGGGUUUGGGCUUUGUCUGGGCUAGGGUUGGGCCGAGUGUUUGGGCCGGGUAUUAAUUAGUUUUGGGCUGCAUUUUUUUUAUUUGCUUGGGCCGAUUUUAAUUUGAAUGUUGGGCCUUUGUUUUAAAUUUUAAUGGGCCGAUUUUUAUGAGUUUUGGGCCGAGUCAGUUGGGCCAUUUUCAAAUUUUAGCUGGGCCCUUAUUUAUUUAAAAUUUUGGGCUGCCUUCUAUUAAUUUAUUUGAGCUAUACUAAUUUAAUUAAUUUGAC